rnacentral:lncRNA from 1 species
GGAUCCCGAGGAUCCGGGAGGGAUUCCCGGGAAUUCCAGGGGGGAUUCCAGCUGGGAUUUCAGGAGGGAUUCCCAAAGAUUCCAGCUGGGAUUCAAGGAGAGAUCCCAAGGAUCCGGGAGGGAUUCAAGGGGAGAUUCCCAAGGAUUCCAGCUGGGAUUCCAGGAGGGAUUUCAGGAGGGAUUCCCAAAGAUUCCAGGAGGGAUUCCCGAGGAUUCCCGAGGAUUCCAGGAGGGAUUCCCGAGGAUUCCAGCCAGGAAUCCUGGCGGGAUUCCAGGGCACAAUUCCCAAGGAUCCUGGGUGGGAAUUUCAGCUGGGAU